AUGUGCCACAAUAUGUUGCGGUAUUGUACCCAGACAGUUUACUGUAUGGCAAGGUUAUAUUUAGAGGCGCAGUGUGGAAUAGUAUUAUAUUCAGAGAGUGCGGUGUGGUGGUAGUGUUAUAUACAGAGAUUACAAUGUGUGGCAGUAUUAUACUCAGAGGGUAUAGUAUGUGGUAUUAUUACAUUCUGAAGGUACAGUGUGUUGUAGUAUUAUAUUCAGAGGGUACAAUGGGCAGUAGUAUCAUAUUCAGAGAGCGCAGUUUGCAGUAGUAUUAUAUAUUUUGAGGGUACAGUGUGGGAUAGUAUUCUAUUCAGAGGAUAAAGUGUGUGGCAGGUUUAUAAUCAGAGAGCGCAGUGUGUGGCAGUAUCAUAUUUACUAAAUAUAGUGUCUGGCAGGGUUAUAUUCAGAGAGCACAGUGUGUGGCAGUAUUAUAUUCAGAAAGCGCAGUGCCUGGCAGCAUUAUAUUAAUUAUCAUUUUCAUAUCGAGGAUCAGACUCCGCUGACAUAGUGAGGAUCCAUUUGGGCGUCAAGUUCUGCAGAGAGAAGAUUUAGCUGGACCCGGCGGAAGAAAAUCUAAACUUUUGGAUCCCAAACUUGUGUCAAAGAUGAACUGUGAGUGGACCUGAGGAAGGCAUCAGUGGAUUACGAAACUCGUUGUCCCUUCUACACCAAUAAAGUUUUUAUUGUCCUGUG